UUUUGAGGAUUUUUUUGAUUUAAGAAGGGAUGUGAAAACAUCCUUUCUUUGGUUACACGCGCGCAAACCAGGGUGCUGAUCGAUGUAUCAUGGAUAAGAGUCCUUCUACUUGAAGGACCUCUUAUCUCUGAUAAUCAGAUCAGAUAAGCCUUUUGAGAUAAGGCAUGUCCCUCUCUUUUGGUAUCUCUCUAGUGGCUAUAAAUAGGCUGGGGUGCUGGAUAUCCGAUGAAUCAAAGAGGGUGAGGUCAGGUUCUUGAAGAAACUUGAUCGGUACAAGGCUAGCGAGUUCUAGGGGUUAGAACUCUUGAAGCAAGGUGAAGAAGGAGCGCUGUCUUUGGUUUGAUUUUCAUGUGGAUCACCAUUGGAGGACGGAUACUUGGACACCUUGUGAAAAUUAGGAUGAGCACUAUAGGUAUUCUUCUUAUCCUAAUUUAUAUUUAUUAUGCUUUGAUUAUUAUAGUCAAGAGUUUCUG
rnacentral:lncRNA from 1 species